rnacentral:lncRNA from 1 species
AAAGUAAGAUUAAAAAUUUCAUUGACAGAAAAGGAAAUUCCAUUUACCAAAGGUGCCAAAUUGCACUAAACUAAAACAACUUCUAAAAAAGGAAACAUUUAGAAAGCCUCAAAAGUACAACUUAAACUUCCCUAAAAAUUUGAAGAGUAUUUUGAGAAUUACCUAACUCCAGAGCAGUUGUUGACAGAAUAUACAUGUUCAACACUGUAACGCCAUGUAAAUGUUGUCAAGAGGCUAAAACUACCACCAAAGAGGCAACAAACCUAUUUAUUCCACCACGGUACCUCCUGCUCCUCCCUCCUCCCUCCUACCUAUCAGAAAAUGUGCAUCUCCAUCCAGCCCACAAAUAACCAGAAACAUUCCUCACCACCACACAACGAGCCUCACCCACUGCUAUCCACUACUUUAGUAUUCUACUUCCCCGCUCAAACUUGAAGAAUGGGUGAUUUCUCUUGCUCUUCCCCAUCACUACAACAAGUAUUACUCACAAUCUUCCUCACUUCCAC